rnacentral:rRNA from 1 species
AGAAGAUGGUAAGGGCAAACGGUGGAUGCCUUGGCACAAGAAGCCGAUGAAGGACGUGAUAAGCUGCGAUAAGCCACGGUAAGGAGCACAUAUCCUGUGACCCGUGGAUUUCCGAAUGGGUAAACCCACCAAGAGUCAUUUCUUGGUACUUCCUGCUGAAUAUAUAGGCAGGAUAGAGGUAACCGGGGGAACUGAAACAUCUAAGUACCCCGAGGAAGAGAAAUCAAACGAGAUUCCCCUAGUAGUGGCGAGCGAACGGGGAUAUAGGACAAACCGUCAGUUGCGCAAGCGCUGGCGGGGUUGUAGGACCAUUCAUUGUGGAGUUACAAAACUUCGUGGAAGCAGAAUAGCUUGGAAAAGCUGGCGAGACAGGGUAAAAGCCCCGUACGCGAAUCUGCGAAGACUCCCGAGUGGCACCUGAGUACUGCCGGACACGUGAAACCCGGUGGGAACCUGGGGGGUCCACCCUCCAAUCCUAAAUACUCUCUUGUGACCGAUAGUGAACCAGUACCGUGAGGGAAAGGUGAAAAGCACCCCUAGCGGGGAGUGAAAUAGUACCUGAAACCGUUUGCCUACAAGCAGUCGGAGCAGACUUUUGUCUGUGACGGCGUGCCUUUUGUAGAAUGAGCCAGCGAGUUACGGCAUGUGGCAAGGUUAAGCUAAAAAGCGAGCCGCAGCGAAAGCGAGUCUGAAUAGGGCGAGUGAGUCGCAUACCGUAGACGCGAAGCCAGGUGAGCUAUCCAUGAGCAGGCUGAAGCGGGGGUAAGACCCCGUGGAGGGCCGAACCCACUUAGGUUGAAAACUGAGGGGAUGACUUGUGGAUAGGAGUGAAAGGCCUAUCAAACCUGGAGAUAUCUCGUUCUCUCCGAAAUAGCUUUAGGGCUAGCCUCGGAUGUUUACCAAUGGGGGUAGAGCACUGAAUAGUUGCGGGGGCUUCACCGCCUACCAAGAUUAAUCAAACUCCGAAUACCAUUGGUCUAGAAUCCGGGAGUCAGAAUAUGUGGGCUAAGCUGUGUAUUCGAAAGGGAAACAGCCCAGACCGCCCGCUAAGGUCCCAAAAUCAAUGCUAAGUGGCAAAGGAUGUGCGUUUGCUCAGACAACCAGGAUGUUGGCUUAGAAGCAGCCAUUCAUUUAAAGAGUGCGUAAUAGCUCACUGGUCGAGUGGACAUGCGCCGACAAUAUACGGGGCUAAGCAUUGUACCGAAGCGGCGGAUCAGUACUUUGUACUGGUGGUAGGAGAGCUUUCUGUACGGGUUGAAGCAGUUGGAUAACCAACUGUGGACUGUCCAGAAGUGAGAAUGCUGGCAUGAGUAACGAGAGACAUGUAAAAAACAUGUCCGCCGUAAACCCAAGGUUUCCUGGGCAAGGCUAAUCCUCCCAGGGUUAGGCGGGAGCUAAGGCAAGGCCGGAAGGCGUAGUCGAUGCACAACAGGUAGAAAUUCCUGUCCCUCCAAAAGAGCGUUAUCACCAAUGGGGUGACGGAGCAGGGUAGCUAGGCGGGGUUCUGGACGUCCCCGUGAUGGCACGUAGGCUGAGAAGUAGUGAAAUGCGCUUCUCGUGACGGCUGAGGUGUCGGACGAAGCAAUUGAGUGAAGCUAGUAAGCCCAUACUUCCAAGAAAAACCUCUAGGGAGCUCUGAGGAGCCCGUACCGCAAACCGACACAGGUGGGUGGGUAGAGCAUACCAAGGCGAUCGGGAGAACUAUGGUUAAGGAACUCGGCAAAAUUGCCCCGUAACUUCGGGAGAAGGGGUGCCGGUUUCGGUGAAGGGAUUUACUCCCCGAGCUAAGAUCGGUCACAGUAAAUAGGUCCAAGCGACUGUUUAUCAAAAACACAGGACUCUGCUGAAGUCGUAAGACGACGUAUAGGGUCUGACGCCUGCCCGGUGCCGGAAGGUCACGAGGAGUUGUUAGCAUUAGCGAAGCAGCGAAUCUAAGCCCCGGUAAACGGCGGCCGUAACUAUAACGGUCCUAAGGUAGCGAAAUUCCUUGUCGGGUAAGUUCCGACCUGCACGAAUGG